rnacentral:ncRNA from 1 species
AAUAAAUUUUUUAUGGUUUAUAAAAUUUAUUUUAUACUUAUUUUACAUAUAAAUUUUAGUGUAGAUUUUUAAUUAUUUUAAUAAUAAUUGAUUAUUUUAGUAGUAAUUAACAUUAAAAAUUUAAGAAAUUAAGAUUUAGUAAUUUUAAAAUUAAUAACAAAUUUUGUGCCAGCAGUUGCGGUUAAACAAAAGUUAAUUUAAAUUUUAUUAGUAAUUAAUUAAUAAUUAAAAACAUAUUUAAAAUUUUAAAUUAUUAAGUGAAAUUUUAAUUUAAAUAAAUUUUAUUUUAAUAUUUAUGAUUUAAUAAGUUUUAUUAUAAACUAGGAUUAGAUACCCUAUUAUUAAAAAAUUAAAUUAAAAUACUAAAAUAGUAUAUGAUUAUUUAUUGAAACUUAAAUAAUUUGGCGGUAUUUUAGUUCAUUUAGAGGAAUCUGUUUAAUAAUUGAUAUUCCACGAAUAAAUUUACUUAAUAAAUAAAAUUUGUAUAUCGUUGUUAUAAAAAUAUUUAUAAAUAAUAAUAAUAUUUAAAAAUUAUAAUAAAAAAUUAAAUCAGAUCAAGAUGCAGUUUAUGAUUAAGAAUAUAAUGGAUUACAAUAAAUUUAUUUAAAUGAAUAUUAAUUUUUAAAAAUUAAUUGAAGGUGGAUUUAAAUGUAAUUUUAAUUAAUUUAUUAAAAUGAUUAAUAAUUAAAAUAUGUACAUAUUGCCCGUCACUUUCAUUAAUAAAUUGGAAUAAGUCGUAACAAAGUAGAGGUACUGGAAAGUGUUUCUAGAAAGAU